GUGGGGAAUAUUGGACAAUGGGCGCAAGCCUGAUCCAGCCAUGCCGCGUGAGUGAUGAAGGCCUUAGGGUUGUAAAGCUCUUUCACCGAUGAAGAUAAUGACGGUAGUCGGAGAAGAAGCCCCGGCUAACUUCGUGCCAGCAGCCGCGGUAAUACGAAGGGGGCUAGCGUUGUUCGGAUUUACUGGGCGUAAAGCGCACGUAGGCGGUUUGUUAAGUCAGGGGUGAAAUCCCGGAGCUCAACUCAGGAACUGCCUUUGAUACUGGCAAGCUAGAGUCCGGAAGAGGUAAGUGGAACUCCUAGUGUAGAGGUGGAAUUCGUAGAUAUUAGGAAGAACACCAGUGGCGAAGGCGGCUUACUGGUCCGGAACUGACGCUGAGGUGCGAAAGCGUGGGGAGCAAACAGGAUUAGAUACCCCAGUAGUCC
rnacentral:rRNA from 1 species